UCAUUGAACUCUGAACUGAACUGUUUUAGAUUCCAAUUGCUUGAGCGCCCAUUACUGCUAUUAUGUAUAAAUAGAGUUCCUUCCCCAAUGAAGGCCAUUAUCUUGGAUGACUUGAUGUGUGUUGUGGAAAGUACAGGUUGAAUAGUGCUAAAAGGAUUUUUUCACAUUUAUUGAAUAUUAAUGCACUAAACAAUUCAAAAAAGUCAGUUAGGAUUCCACUUCUGCAAAUUGAAUCUGAUUGAGUUUAGGAAAAUGCUAAAUUCAGCAAAUGAACUUGCUCCUUUGAAAUGGUUGUUGUUUCAUUAGUUAGUACUGAAAUGAUCAUAUUCUUUUGAAGCCUCUUGUACUGCAUCUUGUCAUAGAAAUUUUCCAGUAAUAAAUCAAAUAAUAUUGUUAUUGAGAGUGGAUAAGUUUACCAUAUGAUGUGAAAUAUCAGUCUGUGUUUUCAUAGCCUGUUAUAUCUUCCAUGAAAGAUUUUUCUUCCAUGAAGUCACUUGUAGUUGAAAAUAAUGGUGACUAAUGUGUAAACAACAUAAUCGGGUAAAAUUUUAGGUCGAUGUGAUGUUUUGUAAUGUAGAGAAUUAGUCGGGCUCACCCACCUAUGCUCUUGUUCUGAGCAAUUGGCAAGUUGAUGCAUUCGAGAUGCAGAACAAAUUCAUUAGCAAUCUCAGUAAUCUGGAUAGGUUAACUUGGGAACCUUCACCUAUCUCCUAAUCAUUGUAAACACCGUCGAAGAAUCAUCAUAUUUUUAAUGGGAGAGCUCACUAAACUUGUGCCUUGCAAGUUGGAUUUUUGCUUAAUUCCAUUUUCACCAACUUAAAAGUAAGAUCUGAUUUUCCAAGUAAAUGUGUUCUCAUAUGGGCAUUUAAAAGUAACCGGAUACACUACUGCCCAUGAUGGUCUAAUUUGGGGGCUUUUGGCAACCCAUUUCUCAUAUCAUUCUGUUUAUGUUGGACAUAAAAAGGAGGCCUUGUGCAUGCACAGGUACUUUUUGAGAAGCUUGAUUCAGAUUUGUCCUUUUCUAGGGCAUUAUUCUCCAAGUCCUUCUCUUUCACAUCUUGCUGCCCUUAGUGACUAAAUAAAUGCCGACUUCCUUUGUAUUUGAUGUUGUCCACCAUGAUGACAAGACCUUCUAGAACAGAUCUCAAGUAAGAAUAGAAAAGUGAGACGACUAACCCAUGAUUCAACAGACCUUGAGCGGCCUGUAUGACACUAAGCUCUUUGACACAGUCCCGGGUGUGCUUUUGUGUCCAAGUGUCAUCAGCUGGUCCAAUAUAAAAAUAUGCAAUAUGACAACGAAGCAUGAGAGUGCAACACUGUCCUGCAGAAAUCUUUGUGAGCAGAUGAACAAGGCCUCCUUCCUUCUUCCACAUUUUUAUCAAUUCUGGUAGUUGGAAAGCUUCAAACUUCCAAAGGCAUUUCCAGCUCUUCUCAUUGAUGCAGCCCCCUCUUUGGAGUAUCUGUUGGAAAAAUCUGAAAACUACAAAGGCAGUUAUAGCACCAUCUUAAUAGCUAUAUAAAGGUGACACUAAAUAUGGGAUGAAAAAUAAUAAGUUUUUUUUUUUUUUUUUUUUUGUCUAUUAAAUUGACCAUACACACAGUUUAUAUAGGAGAUUACAAGAGAAGAAAUAGGAAACAAGAGAUAUAAUAAGAAACUAACUAAUUCCUAAAUCAUAAAACUAUCUAUUUACAGAAAUAGGAAACUAAUAUAAUAGGAAAAUAAUUCUCUUAUUCUAUUUACAGCUCAACAAAAGGAACCAGGGUACCAUCAAUUUUUUAUUAUACGAGAUGUGUUGACGAUGAAGGAGCAGGUUACAGUGUAGAGGAUUUUCCUAAUUGUAUUUGGCUGUAGGUGUAUUGCUAAUUAUUUGGUUAUAGUGAUCCAUUAAGUUGGUUGAAGUGUAAUUUUAUUCUUGUGAAUGAAGUCCACUUGUUAGUUGCUUUUUAGCUGCUCUUUAUUUUACAAUUCAGUAUUAGAAUGCUAUUAUUUUUGUAUGGCCAAAUUGUAGAAAAAAUAGCAGAAGUUCAAUGCCAAAACAUAAAAUAAAUGAGCAUAAGUUCCGCCUCUAGCCAAGUACCACAACCUAACCAAAAAAGGUGCAUUGUAAGCCAAAAUCACCUAAAUGAACAGCCCCAAACAAAUACUAAUUGAGAAAUACCCACAUAGAACCUAAGAAUUGUAGCCUUUCUUUCAGUAAAACCCACAUUCAUAUGGGGGAAAAAGGAUGUGGGAACAAUUGAAUGAGAACCAAGGUUUUCCUUUAUAUGAGCCAUUGAAGGGUGGUACUGUAAAUGCUUUUGCAAUUUUUGGGUUUCUUCUUCAAUGAGGAAAAGGGGGUGGGGGCUCCAAAUCGAAGGCAAUGAAGGGGUAGGAAUUGGCAACUUACAGGAGGUACUGGGCUUAUUUCUGCCUUUGGGGCACUGAAGUUUGCCAUCACUGGCAGUGCAGGAGGACAAAGGAUCUUCGAGAAGUUCUGUAAAGCCCAGAGCCUCAGAAGGGGAGACAAGCCCUUCAGGAACAUUGUAAGCAUCAACAGUCACAGAGUUGCUGCUGAAAUUUUGUGAGCUAUGCAUUGGCUAGCCCCUUUAUGGACAUUUUUCCUACUUGCUUGUUUCUCAUUAUUGUUUGCAUCUCUUUUUCAUUGCUUUUCACCACUGUGCAUUUGAAAUGCCCCUUCGAACUUUAUCUGUUCUCUUGUAAUGUCUUCUUCAUCUAGGACAAAGGUCAGAUGAGACACCUUAGGCCAGGGGCGGACAGAAGGGGGGCCAAGGGGGGACCACUGGCCACACCCCCCCUCCCCCCCCAACACCAACUUUAGAAAUAAAAAUAUAAAAAAAUAAAAUUA